GAUGAACGCUAGCGGCAGGCCUAACACAUGCAAGUCGAGGGGUAGAGGAAGCUUGCUUCCUUGAGACCGGCGCACGGGUGCGUAACGCGUAUGCCAUCUACCUUAUACAGAGGGAUAGCCCAGAGAAAUUUGGAUUAAUACCUCAUAGUAUUAUGAAAUCGCAUGGUUUUAUAAUUAAAGUUCCAACGGUAUAAGAUGAGCAUGCGUCCCAUUAGUUAGUUGGUAAGGUAACGGCUUACCAAGACAAGGAUGGGUAGGGGUCCUGAGAGGGAGAUCCCCCACACUGGUACUGAGACACGGACCAGACUCCUACGGGAGGCAGCAGUGAGGAAUAUUGGUCAAUGGACGCAAGUCUGAACCAGCCAUGCCGCGUGCAGGAUGACGGUCCUAUGGAUUGUAAACUGCUUUUAUACAGGAAGAAACACUCCCUCGUGAGGGAACUUGACGGUACUGUAGGAAUAAGGAUCGGCUAACUCCGUGCCAGCAGCCGCAGUAACAC
rnacentral:rRNA from 1 species